AACGAACGCUGGCGGCAUGCCUAACACAUGCAAGUCGAACGAGACCUUCGGGUCUAGUGGCGCCCGGGUGCGUAACGCGUGGGAACCUGCCCUUAGGUUCGGAAUAACUCCCCGAAAGGGGUGCUAAUACCGGAUAAUGUCUUCGGACCAAAGAUUUAUCGCCUUUGGAUGGGCCCGCGUUGGAUUAGCUAGUUGGUAGGGUAAAAGCCUACCAAGGCGACGAUCCAUAGCUGGUCUGAGAGGAUGAUCAGCCACACUGGGACUGAGACACGGCCCAGACUCCUACGGGAGGCAGCAGUGGGGAAUAGUGGACAAUGGGCGAAAGCCUGAUCCAGCAAUGCCGCGUGAGUGAUGAAGGCCUGAGGGUUGUAAAGCUCUUUUACCCGGGAUGAUAAUGACAGUACCGGGAGAAUAAGCUCCGGCUAACUCCGUG
rnacentral:rRNA from 1 species